UAAAAGUUUCUAUACCCAAUCUACGUAUGUCGUUUUCUUUCUUCUCCACUAAUUAUUUUUCCCUGACCUAGCACAUCAACGUGAUCAUGCACUUAUUCCACAAUAGAAGCGCACAAGAAGACAAUGGUACAUAUCCCCACUUUACUUCACCACUUUAAAAUGGUUCAACCUCGUCAAUAAUAUCACCAAGUCCAAUUCCUCAACUUUGCUAAACUUACAAGAGCUUCUCUCCAAAAAUGGAUGGUAAGAAAACACAAGGACAAGGGUAUCUGAAAAAGAAGGCUAGUGUGUCUUACCUUGUGGAAGAAGAAUUGGAGAAUGAUACAGAUGGAGAGGAGGAAGAGAAGAGGAAAUGUGUGACAGAUAGGUUUAAAGGAUCUAGCGGCAGCAAUGAUCGUGGCUCAUCACGGCUUUGCCAAGUAGAUAGAUGCACAGCUGAUCUGAAAGAAGCUAAACAGUAUCACCGGAGGCACAAAGUGUGUGAAGUUCAUGCAAAGGCAUCUUCUGUCUAUCUCACAGGCGUUAAACAACGGUUCUGUCAACAAUGCAGCAGGUUCCAUGAGCUCCUAGAGUUUGAUGAAGCUAAAAGAAGUUGCCGGAAGCGCUUAGCUGGACACAACGAGAGGCGGAGGAAGAGCUCCGGUGAAAGUAUUGGAGAAGGGUCAGGUGGUCGAAGAGGAAUAACAGCUCAGAUGAUCCAGAAUCAAGAAAGAUCAAGGGUAGAGAUGACACUUCCUAUGUCAAACACAUCAUCAUUCAAGCGACCACAGAUUAGAUAGAGAAGCUGUCUGCUCUCUCUCUUCUGUCAUUAUAAAUUUCCCUUAGAAUCUGAAAUUGUGGUAUCCAACAAUGUCAAAAAAGAAACAACUGAGUCAUGAUUCGAGUAAGGAGUGUGACUUAUCCAAAAGCACAGGAGAAUAAUCGAAAGCCACCACCACGGUUACUGAAGUUUCAGAGCCACGAAUGAGAUAUCCAUCUUAGGUUUUUCUUGGCUUCACAUAAAAGACUACAAGUAUAUUACAAGAUUUGAAUGAACCAACGACCAUUGUCAGUUAAAUCGUUGAGAGUAGAUUAUGA